UAAAAUUUCUUCAGCAUACUUUCUCUCCAAAAAAGACAUCAUUAUUUUUAUUUUUUUAGUUAUGGAAAAAAAAUUUUUUUAAGUUCCGGGAUACAUGUGCAGAAUGUGCAGGUUUGUUACAUAAGUAUAUGCGUGCCAUCGUGGAGACAUCAUUUAUUUUUUAAGCACAAAAAUAAUUUUGGGUUAUAAUUCUUAGCAUACAGAGACACAGAUGCCUACAUUCUAAUGACUAAUAUAAAACCUUUUAUUUGGCAAUUUGGAAAUAAACACUUUUUAGAUAUUAACUUAUGAAAUAAGGUUACAGAAAAUUAUUCAUAGAAAAUAUUACACUAUAGAUAGAUUACUCAAAUCACUCCAAUGAAGUAAUUUAAUUGAGGUGUUCAUAAAGCAGCUCAGAGUCUGGGCACAAAAUAGAGAUCCGAGUCUUCAUUCCCCUAUAAUCCUGCGUGAGAUACUCAAUCUCUGCCUCUUCCUCAAAAGACCAUUAAGAACUAAACAAAAUAGUGUGGAAAGUGCUUGGCAAGGUACUUAUUAAGCAUUUAUGAAUGCUUUAUUAGUACCAAAUGCUUUUGUCAUCACAGAGUUUAAUUGUACCAAGAGAAAAAACAAAAAUUCUCCAACAGAGUGAUGACUGCUUUAAAUAGGAGAGUUGAUUCAUUAGUUUACAAAUACUAGUUAUCAAGUUUCAAACUUCAGACUAAACUUGCAUUGUUAUACUUUUGGGGCAAUAUUUACAGAGCUGUACCCAUGACAGAUAACACAGACAACGAAUAAUCUACCUUCAGCAAGGAAGGUCAGAAAACCCAGACUCAAGAGAGGCACCUGUGCUUCCCAAUGGCUCAUUUCCUCCUUGAACUGCAGCCUUCUUCCACCUAAGCCGGAGUAGACCCUGCCUUCAGUCCACCUCAGUAACCUCCAUGGACUUGGAGCACAGGCACUGCACUGACACAAACCUAGAAGCCCAGCGUCCCAAAGCCCAAGUUUGCAUUCAUCCCUCACCAAGUAUCAACCAUUCUCCCAAAGGCAGGUAAAUAUCCCAGACUUAAGCAUGAGAUCCUUAGGCCAAAAUGAACUGGGAAACAUUAAAAAAAAAAAUCUUAUUAAAGCAUGCCAUAAAUUCCACUUUUUACCUCACUGAUUAAAAUAAUCAAGAAAGAUAAAACAUACAUAGGUGUUAAUAUUAGGUUGGUGAAAAAUAUAAAAUACCCAUUAUUUAAUUAUAUUUAAAAGAAUUUUUUUAAGUUUAAGAUCUUGUAAGUUAAACUUUCUCAAUGUCAAAUUGCAAACUUCAAUAUUUAAUAUAUGUGUGAUAUUGAUGACUGCCUCCUCUUCUUUCAGGUAUUAUUGAAUGUUAUCAAAUAAAAAUUCUAUUUCUUUCUAUGCAUAUCUGACAUUUACAUGUGGUGAAAAGGUUACUUGGCCCAAAAAACUUUUCAGAAUCAAGUUUAACACAUCACAUGUUGCUCAUCAGCACAAACUUUACAGUCAGGAGUUGCACAUAAAGGGUUUAUUUUAAAUGUUUUAAGGAUAAGAUAGAG
rnacentral:lncRNA from 10 species